CGACCAUCAAGCCCCCGGCUUGUGUUGGGGACCUGCGGCUGCCGCAGGCCCUGAAAACCAGUGGCGGGCUCGCUAGUCACUCCGAGCGUAGUAGUUACAUCUCGCUCAGGGCGUGCUGCGGGUUCCGGCCGUUAAAAAGCCUUAUUUUACCCAA
rnacentral:misc_RNA from 1 species